AGAGCACAGGGCGGAUGCCCAGGCACCAUACGCCGAAGAAGGACGCGGUCAGCUGCGAUAAGCCUCGAGGAGCCGCAAGCAGGCAUUGAUUCGAGGAUUUCCGAAUGGGGAAACCCGGCGGGAGUAAUGUCCCGUCAUCCAUGACUGAAUCAAAUAGGUCAUGAGAAGGGCACGCGGGGAACUGAAACAUCUAAGUACCCGCAGGAAGAGAAAGUAAUAACGAUUUCCUAAGUAGCGGCGAGCGAACGGGAAAGAGGCCAAACCAGAGAGCAUGCUCUUUGGGGUUGUGGAUCAGCAGAACGUACGUGAAAGUCUAGUGGAAGCGCGUUGGAAAGCGCCGCCAAAGAGAGUGACAGCCUCGUAGACGAAAGGCAGACACGGCAAGCUGAUACCAGAGUACCGCAGGACACGAGAAAUCCAGCGGGAAGCCGGGGGGACCACCCUCCAAGCCUAAAUACGAUAUGGUGACCGAUAGCGCAAAGUACCGUGAGGGAAAGGUGAAAAGAACCCCGGGAGGGGAGUGAAAGAGAACCUGAAACCGCAUGCCCACAAGAAGUCAGAGCCCGUCAAAGGGUGAUGGCGUGCCUUUUGUAGAAUGAGCCGGCGAGUCACGAUCAGCAGGCGAGGUUAAGCAGGAUAUGCGGAGCCGCAGCGAAAGCGAGUCUUAAGAGGGCGUAAUAGUCUGAGGUCGUGGACCCGAAACCGGGUGAUCUAGCCAUGAGCAGGUUGAAGUCGGGGUAAGACCCGAUGGAGGACCGAACCGACCCCCGUUGAAACGUUGGCGGAUGACUUGUGGCUAGGGGUGAAAUUCCAAUCGAACCCGGAGAUAGCUGGUUCUCCCCGAAAUAGCUUUAGGGCUAGCGUCGCAGCGAGAGAGCCGUGAAGGUAGAGCACUGAAUAUGCGAUGGCCGCAUCCCGCGGUACUGAGCAUAAUCAAACUCCGAAUGUCACGGUGUCAUCUGCGGCAGUCAGACGGCGAGUGAUAAGGUCCGUCGUCAAAAGGGAAACAGCCCAGACCAUCAGCUAAGGUCCCAAAGUGCAUGCUAAGUGGAAAAGGAAGUGGAGACGUGCAGACAACUAGGAGGUUGGCUCAGAAGCAGCCAUCCUUCAAAGAGUGCGUAACAGCUCACUAGUCGAAUGACUCUGCGCCGAUAAUUUACCGGGGCUAAGCAUGACACCGAAGCUAUGGACAGGAAUGUGGUAGGGGAGCAUUGCAUGCAGCGGAGAAGCAUGACCGGAAGGGCAUGUGGAGCGCAUGGAAGAGAGAAUGCCGGCGUGAGUAGCGGCACGUGGGUGAGAAUCCCACGCACCGAUGGCCCAAGGUCUCCAGAGGAAGGCUCGUCCUCUCUGGGAUAGUCGGGACCUAAGGCGAGGCCGAAAGGCGUAGCCGAUGGACGACGGGUGGAUAUUCCCGUACCCGAUGUGUGGCGAUGGAGUGACGGAGAAGGCUCAGGCAACCAGCUGCUGGAAUAGCUGGGGCAAGCGAGAUACCUGCGCACCAGGGAAAUCCGGUGCGCAUAAGGGGAAGGCGCGAUGCAUACGGAAAGCUUCGGCAAGUACGGAAAAGCUGAGAGCAGGCUUCCAGGAAAAGCUUCUAGCACAACACACAUCGGCCCGUACCGAAAAUGGACACACAUGGGCAAGGAGAGAAUCCUGAGGUGAGCGAGAGAACUAUAGCUAAGGAACUCUGCAAAAUGACCCCGUAACCUAGGGAGAAGGGGUGCUCCAGAAAUGGAGCCGCAGUAAAACGGCCCAAGCGACUGUUUACCAAAAACACAGCUCUCUGCGAAGGCGCAAGCCGAAGUAUAGGGGGUGACGCCUGCCCGGUGCUGGAAGGUCAAGGGGAGCUGUCAGCGCAAGCGAAGCAGCGAGCCGAAGCCCCAGUAAACGGCGGCCGUAACUAUAACGGUCCUAAGGUAGCGAAAUUCCUUGUCGGGCAAGUUCCGACCCGCACGAAAGGCGUAACGAUUUGGGCGCUGUCUCAGCUGUAGACUCGGUGAAGUCUUAGUACCUGUGAAGAUGCAGGUUGCCCGCGACUAGACGGAAAGACCCCAUGGAGCUUCACUGCAGGUUGACAUUGGGCUUGGAUGCAUGAUGUACAGGAUAGGUGGGAGGCUGUGAGCCGUGCGCGCCAGCGUACGGGGAGCCGCUGUUGGGAUACCACCCUUCAUGCAUCUAGGUCCUAACCGGAGGCAACGGGCCACGGGACAGUGUCAGUCGGGCAGUUUGACUGGGGCGGUCGCCUCCCAAAGAGUAACGGAGGCGC
rnacentral:rRNA from 1 species